CCCAGACUCCUACGGGAGGCAGCAGUGGGGAAUAUUGGGCAAUGGGCGCAAGCCUGACCCAGCAACGCCGCGUGAAGGAAGAAGGCUUUCGGGUUGUAAACUUCUUUUAAGAGGGACGAAGGAAGUGACGGUACCUCUUGAAUAAGCCACGGCUAACUACGUGCCAGCAGCCGCGGUAAUACGUAGGUGGCAAGCGUUAUCCGGAUUUAUUGGGUGUAAAGGGCGUGUAGGCGGGAGCGCAAGUCAGAUGUGAAAACUCAGGGCUCAACCCUGAGCCUGCAUUUGAAACUGUGUUUCUUGAGUGCUGGAGAGGCAAUCGGAAUUCCGUGUGUAGCGGUGAAAUGCGUAGAUAUACGGAGGAACACCAGUGGCGAAGGCGGAUUGCUGGACAGUAACUGACGCUGAGGCGCGAAAGCGUGGGGAGCAAACAGGAUUAGAUACCCGGGUAU
rnacentral:rRNA from 1 species